rnacentral:rRNA from 1 species
UAGGGAAUCUUCCGCAAUGGGCGAAAGCCUGACGGAGCAACGCCGCGUGAGUGAUGAAGGUCUUCGGAUCGUAAAACUCUGUUAUUAGGGAAGAAUAAAUGUGUAAGUAACUAUGCACGUCUUGACGGUACCUAAUCAGAAAGCCACGGCUAACUACGUGCCAGCAGCCGCGGUAAUACGUAGGUGGCAAGCGUUAUCCGGAAUUAUUGGGCGUAAAGCGCGCGUAGGCGGUUUUUUAAGUCUGAUGUGAAAGCCCACGGCUCAACCGUGGAGGGUCAUUGGAAACUGGAAAACUUGAGUGCAGAAGAGGAAAGUGGAAUUCCAUGUGUGACGGUGAAAUGCGUAGAUAUAUGGAGGAACACCAGUGGCGAAGGCGACUCUCUGGUCUGUAACUGACGCUGAGGCUCAAAAGCGUGGGUAGCAAACAGG